UGGGGAAUUUUGCGCAAUGGGGGAAACCCUGACGCAGCAACGCCGCGUGGAGGAAGAAGGUUUUCGAAUCGUAAACUCCUGUCCGGAGGGACGAAAAAAAUGACGGUACCUCUGGAGGAAGCCCCGGCUAACUCCGUGCCAGCAGCCGCGGUAAUACGGGGGGGGCGAGCGUUGUUCGGAAUUACUGGGCGUAAAGGGCGCGUAGGCGGUUUCAGAAGUUUUGGGUGAGAGCCCCCGGCUCAACCGGGGAAGUGCCUGGAAAACCAUGGGACUGGAGUGCUGGAGAGGCAAGCGGAAUUUCUGGUGUAGCGGUGAAAUGCGUAGAUAUCAGAAGGAACAUCUGAGGCGAAGGCGGCUUGCUGGACAGACACUGACGCUGAGGCGCGAAAGCUAGGGGAGCAA
rnacentral:rRNA from 1 species